rnacentral:rRNA from 1 species
CCGCCGGUUCGUAAGGGCACUCUAAGGAGACUGCCGGUGACAAACCGGAGGAAGGUGGGGAUGACGUCAAGUCAUCAUGGCCCUUAUGGCUAGGGCUACACACGUCUUCCAAUGGCCGGUACAAAGGGAUGCCAACUCGCGAGAGGAAGCCAAUCCCAUAAAACCGGUCUCAGUCCGGAUUGCAGUCUGCAACUCGCCUGCAUGAAGUCGGAAUCGCUAGUAAUCGCGAU